CUAGGACACGGAACAGCACGUCUCCUUGGCCACGGGGCGGGGGGGGGCCUGGGGUUCUGGGGCUCUUCCCGAAACCUCAGGGGGAGAGAAGACCCCUCUUUCCACCGAGGCAGCUGAGGACGGACGUAAGCCUGAAGCACUCGCUGGCCAUCUGGCCACAUCAGGGGUGGAGGCCACGCCAGAAAUCAGGAACGCAGAACCGAGGGAGGUCGAGGGUGCCUCCCGACCACCCCAACCGAGCCCCCAGCAACUUGAGCUUUCCAACGCAGGAACCUUUAGAUCCCCUGUGUCACUUGACCAGGUUUGAGGUGGCAUUCCGUCACUUGCAACCUGGAGUCCUAUACUAAUGUCACUCGCUCUCGGCCGCCCGCGAUGAGCUCCAUUUUCUCAGAUGGGAAAGAAAGGGCUGGAAUUAGGGCCCGCGGCAUGAGAAUCAUUCCCACCCGGGCCGGUCUUCUCUCCAGAGCGGCCACUUUUAGUGUUUGUUGGGGGCAGUUAUGAGUCACCGCACUGCUUCUGGAACAGUUUUUUUUUUUUUGGCGGGGGGGGGGAGCUUCCACGAAAACGCGAGUCCUGCCUGUUUGUGCGUCUUCUACCCAUCGUGGUAUUUAUUGUACGGAAGAAAACGGAGCCCUACCUCUCCCCAAGCAAGCACCUGCUUCGGUCCUCCCGGGCACUCUUCUGCAAAUGGACACGCUCUUUUCCAGUGUUUUAUUCCACGAUGGUCUGGAACAGGGUCUGUGGGGCGUGGGAAAGAAGGUGCACGUGGCUGUCUAGAGAAAUCUCGCGGAUGCACGUGUGGUAACGGGCAGGGUAAAUGCGCACAGAGGCCAACGUGGUCGUUAUGGGAGGCGGCACAGAAGCGGGGUGGGCAGGGCCCCCCGCGCCCUCUGGCAGGCUGGGCGUCCACCGAGGUCUCUGUGGCUUCUGUGUUCACAGCCCGGGGGACAGACGAGCCACCGCUUUUGCUCUGGGGUCUGGGUGUGAUGCCACCGUGAUAAGGAGUAUGAUUUCGUAUCUUCUAUUUGCCCCUCGGAUCCUGACGCCACCUUCCCCUGCUUCCUGCCUCGAGGGUGCCCUGUGCGGACAAGGGGCUCCUGUGCCCUCCACCUUCUGGCUGGGAAGCCCUACGGCGGGCUAGAGAGAGGGAGGAGGCUGAGGGCAAGGUGUCCAUUCUCCUGGCUCCUUCCGUUCGAUGCCUGUGUUCGUUUCUGCUACAACGAAGUACCAUGGACAGGGCGAGGGGUGGGGGGGAGGCGGGGGCGCGUAAACCACAGAAGUUCCUUCAGGAGGUCACUAAGUCUCAAAUCAAGGUGUCAGGCAGGGCCCCGGCCUCCCUGGAGGCUCCGGGAACAUCCUUCCUGGCCUCUCCAGGCUGCGGGUGGCUCCGGGCGAUCUUUGGCUUGUGACAACACCAAGACAUUCUCUGACUCCUUGUCACAUGGCCUUCUCUGCAUCUCUCUGUCUCCUCUCUUCUCAUAAGGUCGCCGGUCAGAUUUCAGACCCACCCCAAAUCCAGGAUGAUCUCGUCAUCUCAGGAUCCUUAAAUAAUUAUAUCCAAGAGGACCCUAUUACCAAAUGAGGUCCCAGACAGACAGGAAUUUUGGAGGACACUAUUCAGCCCACCGCAAAACCCUCAUGGACUGGCUGGGUCUUUCUGACCAAAGGUCCGACAAGGGUCCUGUCUGCAUGACUCUUUUAUUCUGGGCCUCCGGCCUUUGGUGCCUCUGGUGGUAAGGCUCUGAUGGCACCAGCCCUGGGACCCUACAUUCUCCUUUCCCUUCUCGGUUUCCCUAUACCCCACCUCGUGAACGAAGGCUCCUUGAAUGACCUGAAAGAACUAUCAGUUUCCUGUUGGGGUGUUGAUGGACAUACUCUUCAUCACGGGGCACUCAGCCCAUCUCCUUCCAUCCUCGAAAUUAGUAUCACUCCCUCCUGGAUGAAGAGACAGGUUCAGCAAGGCCGAGCUACCCGCCCGAAGCCAUUCCGCUGAGAUGUACCACGGGUGUCCUCGGUGUCCUGUCUGGUCAUCCGGUGGCCAGGCAGCUUGGAGGCCAUAGAGGCUGGCUGCGUGUCGCCUGCUGACUUCCCACCCUCGGUGUCUUCAGUAACUGCUUGUGGGAGGCUGAGGUGUGAGUCACGGGAGGUGCCGGGUGAGGCCGCGGGGCCCGGGGGGCCCCGAGCUGAGUACCAGCUCUCAUGCCAACUUGGUGCCAGGCCAGCGUGGGCCACCGAGGAGGAAGAAUCAGAGCAUCUCUGUCUGAACCCAGGCCCUGCCUCCUCCCAGCCGGAGUCCCACUUGGGGCAAGCCUGUCCCCUUGGCGCCUCAGUCUCCGCCCCCACCAAAGUCAGGGCAGGGCUACAAGAGCGUGGGGAGGUGGAGCAGGCCGGCGCCUUGCACGGGCUGCUCACUAGGUAGGAGGCUCGGCGGCUGGUUUAUCGAACGGCCCAGUGUGGUUUGACACGGCUCCAGUCCUUCGGUCCCCGGCUGCACUCUGUCAAAUCGUCCCUUCCUCGACUUCCAGUUUCCUUCACUUUCGGUUUUCACUGAAAGUGUUCGGACUCUCUGCUCUGUCCCUUCCCGCUCCCCUCUGCUCUCUGUCUUUGCUCCUCCUGUGGGUUAGGUAGGGGUUGAGGGGAGCAAGAUUCAGGGUGUAUGGUCUCCCUUGCCCUGGUCCUUGGCUGUUCUCUCUCUGGAGCCUCUUGGUGAGCCAUUAUUCCCCCCCCACCCAUCCUUGCCCUCAGCUCCUGUCCCUGGUGAGAUGCACCCUUGAUCUGCGGCCCCUCCCUGGAUGCAGGUUCACAAGGGCGGCCUCACCUCCUCCAUCAUUUGUUUGACCCCCGUGGGGCCCAUUCCUGCUCCCACCUCUCUUUGACUCUUCCUCUUCUGAGAGGUCCGUUUUGAAGUAUUUGCCUCUUGGUUCUGUGUAAAUCUUCUUCAGCUUGCCCCCUGGCCCCCUGGGAUUCUCCAGCCCAUACUAGGGGGUGAAACGAAGAUGUUACUGACCAAGCAGGAGCCAGGUUUUCUGCUCCAGAGACUCAGUCCAGUUGGGCCUGGCGGAAAGCAGGCGGAGGUAGCACAGGGCCGCCUUGUACAGGUGUUAAGGCUGUGUACUGCACAAGGGUACCUCAACCGUGAGGACACUGUUGUCAGUGCACAUCCAAACUGACCUAUGUGAGGCGUGUGGGUAAGUGUCAGUAUGCAGGCCUGUGUCUCUGGGUGGCUGAGGCAAGCCUCCUUUAUGUGAACCCCACACUGGCUUGGACACACUCAGGGCGGCACCUGUAUACUUCCGCACACGCACGGAUGUGUGCAGCUAUGCCCAACCCCCGCUGAGCUCAGAGGAUGCCUUGAGGUCCCUCCACCUGCUUGCUGCUCUCGCACCCAGUCCUCACCCUCACCGGGCUCCUCGGGGGCGGUCCUGAGGCAGGGUUCAAGGAGUAAGUAGAGGCCAAAUAAGCGAAUGAAUGAAAGAAGGGGCACAGAGGGCAAACGGCAUAGAAAGGAGUAGGCACGCAGCUGAGCAUCUGACCGCGUGCCUUUGCUUCCUGGGUUGAGCAGUGUUCUGGACCCCGGCCAGCUUCAGGGUCUGUGCUGCGGGGAGGGCCGGCCUUUCUCUCCGCUUAAACCCCCAAGUGGCUCGGGGUCUGGGUCUGCAGUGUCUCCCAGACCAGCGUCUUCCGGCCCUUGGGACCAGUAGUGGAGCACUGCCCUUGGAGUCCAAAGUGGGAGCCCCCACGGGCCACCUGGGUGUCCCCUGCCCCGGCAGCAGCUGCCAGCCACGGAGAAAGGGGAGUGCCAAGGAGAGGGCGAAUGCUUUCCCAAGGCCCCUGUGUGCCCCUCCGGGAACGCCUGGCCUCCUUCCUCCCGCCCCUGGCAGCAGGGGCUCCCCGGGGCGUCCUGGGUAUGGGCCUGGGGGCAGGGAGCCGGGCGAGCUCCGUCCUCGCCAGCCCGCGGGGAGUCUGUCUGCCCCUCCCUGGGCUCUGGUGAGAGACUAGAACACAAAGCUAUUUUUAUUUAUGAUAGUGUCAGUGGGCUGGCCUCCGUCUAGACAGCGGGUGUUAUCAUUCGGGGCCAUCCUGGAAUGCGCAGCCCCAUUUAUUGAGAACAGAAGACCAUGUGCAGAUUAAGCGGCUCAUAAAAAUAAGCUGGGAACUGAUACCGGGCCGGGCAAGCCAAGGUAACCGGCGAGGUCAGCCGUGCACGUUGCUUUUGGACACCGGGAUGUUUUCAGAGAAAACGAGGAUUGAUGUGGCCGCAAGGGUGGGCGUGGCCUGAGCCUGCCAGUUCCCCUCUGGAUGACGCAUUUAGCUGCCUCGGGGCCUCAGGGUGCUCAUCUGUAAAACGGGCACGAACACAGAACGUCUGUCUCAGGAUGAGGACUACGUGGCUAAGGGGGAGAAAGAGUUUGGGAAGGUGCCGGCACACAGCGAAAGCUCCGCGAUAUUACUGCCUCUGUUAUCAUUCUGCCCCUUCAACCUUUGGAGCGUGGCCACGAGGAGGAAAAGGCAGCAAGAGUGGCCUUGACCCAGCCCUUCCGAAGGGCCGAGGCAGCUGCGGUUGAGACUUCUACGUGGGCACACUGGGGCAGAGCUGGAGGGCCCAGACCUGGGCAGGAGAGAGCUCCAGUGGGGGUGGCAGAGGUAGGGACCCGGCUCCACCCCAGCAGACGGUCCCAGCACCCUCUGAGCCUUGGUUUCUGCUUCUGAGAAAUGGGGAGGCUGGGGGGUCCCUUGCAGGCUUGCCUGGGAUGGAGCGCGCCCAGUGCUCAGGGCGCUGUGUGGACGCCUGGCUUCUGUGAACCAGGCACUGACAGAGCCCAUGGCAGAGCAGGCCCCGCGGCCCUUUGGGUUGGGGCUUUAGGAAGGAACAGAGCCUCUCCUGGUAUCUGAUGCCGUCCUGCUGUCCUGCCGUCCUGCCUUCCCGCUCCCACCCCGACACUGACUAAAGCUUCCGUGGUUUCUCCGGCUCACCCUUCGCACCCAGCGCGCCGCCCCACCUUCGCGAGGUCUCCAUCCCAGCCUCUGCUUUGGAAGACACCUGCCCUCUCCUUCCUGUGAUAGGAGAAGCUCUGGGUGGGGUCCACCCUGUCCCCAGGGGCCACACCCAGCACCCCCUGAACGAAUGAGAACCCAGCUCUGCAGGGAAGCGGGCUGUCCUCAGCCACCCAACAAGGGAGACUUCGGCGUGGGGGGGGG